rnacentral:rRNA from 1 species
AGUGAACGCUGGCGGCGUGCUUAACACAUGAAAGUCGAACGAGAACGGAAUAUAGCUUGCUAUAUUUGUCAGCUAAGUGCCGCACGGGUGAGUAAUGUAUAGAUAACCUGCCCUUAAGAAAGGAAUAACAGUUGGAAACGACUGCUAAUGCCCUAUAUGCCUUUAUUACAUAAGUAUGCAAGGGAAACGCUUUAGUGCUUAAGGAUGGGUCUGUACGGUAUCAGCUUGUUGGUGAGGUAAGGGCUCACCAAGGCUAUGACGCCUAACUGGUUUGAGAGGAUGAUCAGUCAAACUGGAACUGAGACACGGUCCAGACUCCUACGGGAAGCAGCAGUGGGGAAUAUUGCACAAUGGACGAAAGUCUGAUGCAGCAACGCCGCGUGGAGGAUGACACAUUUCGGUGCGUAAACUCCUUUUAUAUAGGAAGAUAAUGACGGUACUAUAUGAAUAAGCACCGGCUAACUCCGUGCCAGCCGCCGCAGUAA